rnacentral:rRNA from 1 species
CAAUAGCGUAUAUUAAAGUUGUUGCAGUUAAAAAGCUCGUAGUUGGAUUUCGGGACGGGCCAGUUGGUCCGCCGCAAGGUGUGUUACUGACUGGUCUGUUCUUCUUCGCAAAGACUGCGUGUGCUCUUCGUUGAGUGUGCGUAGGAUUUACGACGUUUACUUUGAAAAAAUUAGAGUGUUCAAAGCGGGCUAUCGCUUGAAUACAUGAGCAUGGAAUAAUGGAAUAGGACUUUGGUCCUAUUUUGUUGGCUUCUAGGACCGAAGUAAUGAUUAAGAGGGACAAUUGGGGGCAUCCGUAUUUCGUUGUCAGAGGUGAAAUUCUUGGAUUUACGAAAGACGAACAACUGCGAAAGCACUUGCCAAGAGUGUUUUCAUUAA